rnacentral:rRNA from 1 species
ACGUAGGGUGCAAGCGUUAAUCGGAAUUACUGGGCGUAAAGCGUGCGCAGGCGGUUUUGUAAGUCUGUCGUGAAAGCCCCGGGCUCAACCUGGGAAUUGCGAUGGAGACUGCAAGGCUUGAAUCUGGCAGAGGGGGGUAGAAUUCCACGUGUAGCAGUGAAAUGCGUAGAGAUGUGGAGGAACACCGAUGGCGAAGGCAGCCCCCUGGGUCAAGAUUGACGCUCAUGCACGAAAGCGUGGGGAGCAAACAGG